ACCGGAGGCUGCUGUGGCCGCUUCAAUACGGAAUGAAUGGCCAGAGAAUGAAUGUGGGUUGUGUCCCAGCAUUGAGUAACAAUGUGCGUAUGUAUAGCAUGAACUGUUUGGUGGUUAGGUGUUUCCCUUGAAUGGCUAGUAGUGGGGACUCAGGGUUGGUAGUAAGCUGAGUUUCCACUAGUUUAUCCAGAAUGUGAAUUGGACACCACUUGGUAGAAGUAGGAUAAUAUUUAAUCUCUACUGGUGGGUGUCUCGUGUUGGUGUGAG